GAUGAACGCUAGCUACAGGCUUAACACAUGCAAGUCGAGGGGCAGCACGAGUGUAGCAAUACAUGGGUGGCGACCGGCGCACGGGUGCGUAACGCGUAUCCAACCUUCCCGUUACUCUCGGAUAGCCUUCCGAAAGGGAGAUUAAUACGAGAUGGUGUUGAAAUUCCGCAUGUUAUUUCAACUAAAGAUUCAUCGGUAACGGAUGGGGAUGCGUGACAUUAGGUAGAUGGCGGGGUAACGGCCACCAUGCCCACGAUGUCUAGGGGUUCUGAGAGGAAGGUCCCCCANACUGGAACUGAGACACGGUCCAGACUCCUACGGGAGGCAGCAGUGAGGAAUAUUGGUCAAUGGUCGAGAGACUGAACCAGCCAAGUGCGUGAAGGAUGACUGCCCUAGGGUU
rnacentral:rRNA from 1 species